UUUCAUAUUUACGGGCAUUACUAAAACACCUUCUGAUCGAAUUAGGGUUUUCUUGCGCCGCGUUCUUGUAUAAAUUUGCAGAACAGGACCUAGCUGCCGCUGUCGAAGAUUUAGGGCUGGCGAGGAUUACGAUUUGACGGGGAUAAGAUGAGGGCAAAGUGGAAGAAGAAGAGAAUGAGGAGGCUUAAAAGGAAGCGCCGAAAGAUGCGCCAGCGGUCUAAAUAAUUGGUUGAAUGCACGGAAAGCGUAUAUCAAUUUGUUUUGUUGGUAUAAGCUUUUCGAAGAGGUUGUUUUGAGUAGUGAAUCCUGAGUGUCUGCAUUAAGAAAUAUUUGAACUUAGAUAUUUGUUUAAGUUGCUAUUUUGAUUGUGUUAAAAAAUCUCUGUUGUUGAAUAGCUUGCAUCAAUGCUUCAAUUAUGUUUUUUAUUU